rnacentral:rRNA from 1 species
GAUGAACGCUGGCGGCGUGCCUAAUACAUGCAAGUCGAGCGAACAGAUGAGGAGCUUGCUCCUCUGACGUUAGCGGCGGACGGGUGAGUAACACGUGGAUAACCUACCUAUAAGACUGGGAUAACUUCGGGAAACCGGAGCUAAUACCGGAUAAUAUAUUGAACCGCAUGGUUCAAUAGUGAAAGACGGUUUUGCUGUCACUUAUAGAUGGAUCCGCGCCGCAUUAGCUAGUUGGUAAGGUAACGGCUUACCAAGGCAACGAUGCGUAGCCGACCUGAGAGGGUGAUCGGCCACACUGGAACUGAGACACGGUCCAGACUCCUACGGGAGGCAGCAGUAUGGAAUCUUCCGCAAUGGGCGAAAGCCUGACGGAGCAACGCCGCGUGAGUGAUGAAGGUCUUCGGAUCGUAAAACUCUGUUAUUAGGGAAGAACAAAUGUGUAAGUAACUAUGCACGUCUUGACGGUACCUAAUCAGAAAGCCACGGCUAACUACGUG